rfam:Capsella rubella cultivar Monte Gargano unplaced genomic scaffold scaffold_3, whole genome shotgun sequence.
AAGCCAUGAUGAGGACACUCCCUGUACUAGUCUUUGAACCUCUCCCAAGCAUCAUGGAAAGACUCCGUACCACCUUGCUGAAAGGUAGUGAUCUUAUUCCUCAGGAG